GGCAACCUGAUGGAAUCAAAUAACAAGUGUCAAGGUUGUCCCGCGGGACAACUGCGUACUAUUCUGAGUAAAGUGAAUUGAAAAUAGCACGUGGCACUGGGCUCUUGCUCAAGGCUACUAUUCUCCUUCAGCAGCUCCGUAGAUGACAAACAGAAGAAAGUAGUAUCAGGAGCAGACACUCGUCAAUGCAGAGAAACCCUGACACUGCCUCCAAUCAAAGCGGAAGGAAAAGUCAUACUUGGCCUGGUCGGAUUUUCCCCGUUUUCCACAAAUCCCGCUGCAGCGUGGCGUAAUUGAAAACAGGGAGAGAGAGAGGGAAGGAAACGUUCAAGAUUCUGGAUGAGGGACAGAGCGGAUGGAGAAGGGGAAAGGCUGGAUACAAAGGGAGAGAGAGGAACUCAAGUGCUUGAACGCAGGAUCCAUCUGUUCGGUGUAUCGUCUGAUUUCCCCCUCCCAGCACCCUCCUCUUUCUCUUUUCCUCCCUCACCUCCCAUUAAAACCACGUAAGCCUGAUUUAUCAAGAAUUGGCUCUCAGGGAGCAUCCCUCCUGCUGUACCCACCUGCCCCCCUGCAUAUGCCAGAAAAAUGAGAAUAGAUUGGCCCAUCCGUGGAUGGUGCCAGGUGGCAUUUAGACCCCCAAGAAGAUAUGUGUGCAGUCUAUCUACCUCACAGUGACAGACGUUGGGCCUGGAGAGAGAGGAAAAGAAAAAAGGAAGCAAGUCGGAAAGGAUAGUAACGGAGGAGGGGGAAAGCAGAAAAACCCUAGUAGGUUCAAGUAAAUGUGUUGUCCUGCUAAAGGCACGCUUGUUUUCUUGUCAUUAUCUCAAGCUGCUGUUGCACAGCGAGCCAGAUGUACAUGUGGGAGUACGCAAACGGGCUAGUGACAAUAGGAAUGCCCCUUUUUGCAUUGCCAUGUAAUCUUAGCCUUUUCCUUGUUUUGAAACCGUACUUGAGCUGGAUUUGAAAUCCUGUUAUAUGGAUUAGUGAACACUUAAACAUUAUGGAAAUUAAAAAUCAGGGAGCACAGAUGUGAUUUUGCAACACACAUGCCUAAAGGAAUGUUUUUAUGAUUUAAUACAAGUUAAGUUCAAUCAAGAGCAUCUGUGGUAUAAUGUUCAUUACCACAAAAAACAGUUUCAACAUCACUUUCUUUAUUAAGAAUUUCGGGUUAAAUUAAGAAUAUUUCAGGUUAAGUUCAGUCAACAGCAUACAUGGUAUAAUGUUAGUUAUCACAAAAAAUUGAUUCUGCUCAAACGUUUUCUUUUUUUUUAAACCAAAAAUCAAGGCUACAUUGAGGUACGUAUAAUCAAAGUAAAUGGCACCAGUAAUUUAGAGGAUUUAAAAGCAGGAAUGUGAAGUAUUGCAAUUUUAUAAAACCACUUACUUUUGUUAAAACUUGAGUUUUAUUUGAGCUGCAAAACUAUUUAGAUCAUAAUUUUUACAGUGAUUUUGGAGCAUUACCUUGUCAUGGCAAUGAAGUUACAACUACAGUUGUAUAUACUGUAACUUUACAAAGAAAAGGUUAGUAAACAAUUUUUCAGAGCAUGUUGUUCAUAUCUUGUGGAUAUACUUUUGAAAGAGCAAAUAGU
ensembl:lncRNA